rnacentral:rRNA from 1 species
GACGAACGCUGGCGGCGUGCCUAAUACAUGCACGUCGAACGCAGUGGGGACGGGUGAGUAACACGUGGGUAACCUCCCAUCAGCGGGGAUAACACUUGGAAACAGGUGCUAAACCGAUACUGAUGGAUGGACCCGCGGUUCAUUAGCUAGUUGGUGCGGUAACGGCUCACCAAGGCCACGAUGAAUAGCCGCCCUGAGAUGGUGAUCGGCCACACUGGGACGGCGACACGGCCCAGACUCCUACGGGAGGCAGCAGUGGGGAAUAUUGCACAAUGGGCGCAAGCCUGAUGCAGCCAUGCCGCGUGUAUGAAGAAGGCCUUCGGGUUGUAAAGUACUUUCAGCGGGGAGGCGUUACCCGCAGAAGAAGCACCGGCUAACUCCGUGCCAGCAGCCGCGGUAAUUC